GACGAACGCUGGCGGCGUGCUUAACACAUGCAAGUCGAACGGGCCUGUCUUCUUUUUUGGGGGGUGGGUUGAGUGGCGCACGGGUGAGUAUCACGUGAGUAACCUGCCCUUCGGUCCUGGAUAACCGCUUGAAAGGGCGGCUAAUACGGGGUGGUCCGGUUGGUCCGCAUGGGCUGGUCGGGAUAGAUUCACUGUUUUUGGUGUUUCGGCGGGGGAUGGGCUCGCGGCCUAUCAGCUUGUUGGUGGGGUGAUGGCCUACCAAGGCGGUGACGGGUAGCCGGCCUGAGAGGGUGGGCGGCCACACUGGGACUGAGAUACGGCCCAGACUCCUGCGGGAGGCAGCAGUGGGGGGUAUUGCACAAUGGGCGGAAGCCUGAUGCAGCGACGUCGCGUGAGGGAUGGAGGCCUUCGGGUUGUGAACCUCUGUUUCCGGUGGUGAAGGCCCUGUCCGUGUGGUGGGGUUGACGGUAGCCGGGGAUGAAGCGCCGGCUAACUACGUG
rnacentral:rRNA from 1 species